AACGAACGCUGGCGGCAGGCUUAACACAUGCAAGUCGAACGCUCCGCAAGGAGAGUGGCAGACGGGUGAGUAACGCGUGGGAAUCUACCUGAUACUACGGAACAACAGAGGGAAACUUCUGCUAAUACCGUAUACGCCCUACGGGGAAAGAUUUAUCGGUAUCAGAUGAACCCGCGUAAGAUUAGCUAGUUGGUGGGGUA
rnacentral:rRNA from 1 species